GAUGAACGCUGUCGGCGUGCCUAAUACAUGCAAGUCGAGCGAACGGACGAGAAGCUUGCUUCUCUGAUGUUAGCGGCGGACGGGUGAGUAACACGUGGAUAACCUACCUAUAAGACUGGGAUAACUUCGGGAAACCGGAGCUAAUACCGGAUAAUAUUUUGAACCGCAUGGUUCAAAAGUGAAAGACGGUCUUGCUGUCACUUAUAGAUGGAUCCGCGCUGCAUUAGCUAGUUGGUAAGGUAACGGCUUACCAAGGCAACGAUGCAUAGCCGACCUGAGGGGGUGAUCGGCCACACUGGAACUGAGACACGGUCCAGACUCCUACGGGAGGCAGCAGUAGGGAAUCUUCCGCAAUGGGCGAAAGCCUGACGGAGCAACGCCGCGUGAGUGAUGAAGGUCUUCGGAUCGUAAAACUCUGUUAUUAGGGAAGAACAUAUGUGUAAGUAACUGUGCACAUCUUGACGGUACCUAAUCAGAAAGCCACGGCUAACUACGUG
rnacentral:rRNA from 1 species